GACGAACGCUGGCGGCGUGCUUAACACAUGCAAGUCGAACGCUGAAGCUCAGCUUUUGUUGGGUGGAUGAGUGGCGAACGGGUGAGUAACACGUGAGUAACCUUCCCCCUUCUUUGGGAUAACGCCCGGAAACGGGUGCUAAUACUGGAUAUUCACUGGUCUUCGCCUUGGGGUUGGUGGAAAGGGUUUUUCUGGUGGGGGAUGGGCUCGCGGCCUAUCAGCUUGUUGGUGGGGUGAUGGCCUACCAAGGCUUUGACGGGUAGCCGGCCUGAGAGGGGGACCGGUCACAGUGGGAGUGAGAGACGGGCAAGACUCCGACGGGAGGCAGCAGUGGGGAAUAUCGCACAAUGGGAGCAAGCCUGAUGCAGCGACGCCGCGGGAGGGAUGGAGGCCUGCGGGUUGUGAACCUCUUUCGCGCAGGGUCAAGCCGCAACAAUGGUUGUGGUGAGGGUAGUGGGUAAAGAAGCGCCGGCUAACUACGUG
rnacentral:rRNA from 1 species